GGACAAAGAAACUUAAAUAGGGGCAGCUGUUAUACCCUGAUUUUGGACCUAAAAAUACUCGUUCAAAUUUCUUUUCUACCAUUGAUAAUUGUCAAUUUACUAUUGUUUUACUUUGAAUCUUCACUUUAUUUUCAUCUGUAUAUUUUACUGUCUCUGCCUCAAGGUAUUUGCAAAUCAUGAUUUUGCCUGUGUUUUUCUUGCAUAAGAUCAUCCAAAGUGUCUUUCUUACAUUACAAGUCAUUUGAAA
rnacentral:lncRNA from 1 species